rnacentral:rRNA from 1 species
UAACGCGUGAGGAACCUGCCUUUCAGAGGGGGACAACAGUUGGAAACGACUGCUAAUACCGCAUAAUAUAUGUUUGUCGCAUGGCAGAUAUAUCAAAGAUUUAUCGCUGAGAGAUGGCCUCGCGUCUGAUUAGCUAGUUGGUAGGGUAACGGCCUACCAAGGCGACGAUGCGUAGGGGUUCUGAGAGGAAGGUCCCCCACACUGGUACUGAGACACGGACCAGACUCCUACGGGAGGCAGCAG